rnacentral:rRNA from 1 species
GACGAACGCUGGCGGCGUGCCUAAUACAUGCAAGUAGAACGCUGAAGGAGGAGCUUGCUCUUCUGGAUGAGUUGCGAACGGGUGAGUAACGCGUAGGUAACCUGCCUGGUAGCGGGGGAUAACUAUUGGAAACGAUAGCUAAUACCGCAUAACAGUAGAUGUUGCAUGACAUUUGCUUAAAAGGUGCAAUUGCAUCACUACCAGAUGGACCUGCGUUGUAUUAGCUAGUUGGUGGGGUAACGGCUCACCAAGGCGACGAUACAUAGCCGACCGGAGAGGGUGAUCGGCCACACUGGGACUGAGACACGGCCCAGACUCCUACGGGAGGCAGCAGUAGGGAAUCUUCGGCAAUGGACGGAAGUCUGACCGAGCAACGCCGCGUGAGUGAAGAAGGUUGUCGGAUCGUAAAGCUCUGUUGUAAGAGAAGAACGAGUGUGAGAGUGGAAAGUUCACACUGUGACGGUAUCUUACCAGAAAGGGACGGCUAACUAGGUG